AGACAUCCCAGGCACGCGGUUGCUUUCAGGCUUCUUAAGUUAUUUUAUACCCUUACUGACACACAUGAUGAUGAAGCUGUUCUAAAUGGCAUCGCAGGCUUUAGACUGAGAGGACUUGUUCUAGUCACAGAAGCCUGGCUCUGCUCUUGACAACUGGGGAAUGCUUAUUUUUCAUGUUUUGUGAAUCCUCCUGUGUUGCUCUCAGCUAAUUUCGUGGCUGGGAGAGGUUGGAGAAAGCAGGUUGGAGACGCUGAAGACCAGAGGACACUGGACUUUAAGAGAGCUUGAACUGGAACUUGGGGGCUACAGUAAGGAAAUCUUCAGGUACGUUGAACAGUAAGGGUAACAGCAAAGGAUAUAUUUGCUUCCUUCUGUCUUUUCCUGAUAAUGUACUAACAUAACAAGCAUUAUUCACAAUAGCCAAGAUGGGGAAGCAACCCAAGUACCCUUCUACAGAUGAAUGGAUAAAGAAGAUGAGGUGUGUACACACAAUGGAAUAUGACUCAGUCAUUAAAAAAGACAGAAUCGUCUCAUUUGCAACAACAUGGAUGGGCCUUGAGGAUAUGAUGUUAAGUGAAAUAAGCCAGACAAAGACAAACACUGCAUGAUUUCACUCAUAUGUGGAAGAUAAACUAACACAUGGACAAAGAGAACAGAUU
rnacentral:lncRNA from 1 species